GACUUGUCCAUCCAGCCUACAUGGUGGAGGAGAAUGAARACAAUUGUAGUUGCCAGAUCAACCUUGAAUGUGACAGGAGCUGUAAUUUUAUCAUCAAUGAAAGAGGGCGUCAAUCAGACGGGAAUUCAACUGAUGCAGGACAUCAACUCAGGCACGUCUUUUUUAUUUUUUGUAAGGUUCUUUGUUUGGUUUGUGGUUCUUUACCCACCUGUUUUAUAUUAAUAAUCACUGUUUGACAUUCAGKAAUCACCUCUCUACGAACGUAUACGUCCUGUUUUGCCUCUUUUUUUUCCUGGUACUUCAUGCAGUAUAUUUUAGAAAAUUUCCAUCUUUUUUUUUCUUCUUCUGAGUUGUGGUCCUCUUGUUUCACACUGUGGUUCUUAAUACCUACAGUUUAAAUAUUUCGUUUUUCAUCAUCYACCCGCAUUAUUUUGGGAUCUUGUUUCAGUUUUCCUCGACUGAAACAAGGAAGCUAAAAUAAAGUUUCAUCCUAAUGUGGAUCUUUUUAUAUAUCUUGUGAUUGAAAUUUUUAAUUUUAUUUCCUGAAUCUGACCAAACAGCAACACCAAACAGGUGAAGCUGACCGAAAACGAACAUGUGCUGCCCUCUUGUGGUUUGAGAAGCUUAUUACACAUUUGUUCACAUUUCUUUCCUUUUGUCUCAUGACCAAAACAAAUUUUCCAUUCAAACUAAAUGAAACACGUUGUUGAGUCGCCACAAACCCCCUUGUAUUUGUUUUUUUACCCAGAAGGUAUUCUGCUCUCGAAGGCAAACACAUGACUACAGAUCGGCUCACGCCACAGUAAUGUACUCCAGAAUUCAUUAAUUAUUCACUUUCUAACUUUCCUCCCUGUUAGAAACAAAUAACUCUAACAAAAUACAUUUCAAACAUCAGAUUUUUGGUCUGUAAUUAAAACAGUGCGUUAAAAGAACAAACUUUCAACCUGAGUGACACAUUAAAGUUAUUUUAUUGUGAAAGAGUUUUAAUAGUGAGCAUUAGUGCAAAUGGACUCAUCAGCCAACCUUUUAUACUUUUAUAAUCUAAUUUAUAUGAUAUUGUUUUGUGCUGCUUUAAUCUCGGGCUGCUUGUGUUUUUGAGGCAGUUCAUCCAAAUCACAGAAAACAUAUUUCAUUUUCCGAUCAUUUAGCUUUUUCAUCUUUUUUUCUUCCAUUUUUCCUGAGUAGUUAGAGGCAUUUUUAUAAAGAAAAAAAAAGGACAUAAAGCUGCCGAAUAUUUCAAAAAUAAAAUUCACAACUAAAGUGGGACUUAUCUCAGUUCUAAUACUGGAUAUUUUAUGACACAAAAA